UCAGCUCCCAGAAUCCCAACUCCUUGACAUCCUUCCGCUCAGCAGUGGGGUUUCUCCAGCCCCCUCACCACACCUGUCAGCCUCUGAAUGAUGAAGGGCCUGAAUGUCAGAGUCACCAGAACAAGCAAACUCCAGUUCCAGGCAAUGAGGCCUUCGUGUACUCAGCCCCUUUGGAAACCAGGUGGGGCGCAAGGACCCCAGCGCAGUAACAGUAGGAGUGAGCCGGGUGCUUUCCCCUGGGUUGCACAGCCUGGGGCUUAGCCAAGCUGAUUACAGAAUGAGCCCUAACUGACAGGCACCAUGUACCUCCCCUUAAAGAGCCAGACUUCAGUGGUGAUACAGCCCAGCUGGGGUAUCCACAGGAAUGAGAACGAGGUAGGAAGUUCAGAGCAGCAAGGAAAGCCUGGAGGGGAACUUGAGAAGAGAGGUAGGAAGUGCCCAGGGAAAACUGCAGCAAAGAGAAAGGAGCAGACCUAGCUGUUGAGUACAGGGCCCUAGGCCGCUCCCAGUGUCAGGGUGGGACUGGGUUUCCCUACUGGCCCCAAAGAACAGGGCGUACACGCACCCGGAGAGGGUUACCAAGCCCAGCACGGGGGCUGCAGGCUGAGCAAGAGCCCCAGCGAUGGCAGAAGGACUGCUCUCUCUGGAAAGACCUCUUUGGACUUUUAGUGUGAGACAAGCUGGGCCCCAGAAGGGUGGACUAAAGGUGGUGACCUGGCCGGAGGGCUGAGUUAUCAGGCAGAGAAACUGCCAUGGUGCUGGAGCAACCAUCGAGGGGUGAUGCUAGCCCAGCAAGAGGGCUGUGAUGCCAUGUCUGCCCACCAGUGGGGCACGUAACUCCCAGUAGAUUCGUUUCUGAUUGGCAUAGUCAGGAGGAUUGAAUUCCCCCAGUGAUCCGUGAGGGCUGAUGGAAGUCUUGGUUGCUGAAGGAAGGUCUGUUCUCCCAAGCAGGUGUCUCGAGGGACUGAGCUGGUCACUGGAUUUCCCUCUUCAGUUCCCGGGACAAUUUAAACAGCCAAAGCAGGUCUAGGGGUUUCUCCAGCAGUUCCUAGAAAUCCAACAGAAGCAGAAGGAAAUGCAGGUGGAGCUACAGACGCAGCAGCAGCAAUGCCUGUGAGAGAUCCUGCAAAGGGAAAUCAACCCAGGGUCUGCUAUGCCCAUGGACAAAAAGAGCAGACACAGAGAGCAGGCCUGGGCUGUGCUGAGAAGGUUAGCCCAGAAGAGCAGGGCAUGAGAAAGUCUACAAGCGUGGCCUAGUGCCAAGAUGGGGACAAGACCUUGCAGACCCUCCACCCACACGCCCUGUCAGAUGCUGCAGGGAGGUGAAGGACGAAACGGUUGGCCCAGAGAUGAAGCAGACUGAAGAAGGGACAAACACAAGGGUGGAGCUGUCCAUGGUGGGUUCUCAGACCCUGACGGAAAAGGUUUUGGUGUAUGCAGCGGCAGUAGCAAAAAGACUACAGAAGAAGCUAAAGGCUUCAGAAGAGGCUCUGCAAGCAGCGGUUAAUGAGAAUGAGUGGCUGCAGGAAGAGCGCUGGGAUACUGCAGAAGAGAAGGAUUACCUCUUCAUUCUGGUGAGCGAGCUGGCAGUGGAGCUGGAGACACUGUGCGUGCAGGCUCUACAAGCGUGCAGCCGGUGACAGUGACGACAUGACGAGGGAUGAAGCUUGGACAAGAAUAGAACUUGCCCCCCAUGUGGGCCAGGUUCUAAGGAGGAGGCCUUUCACACAGAUGUAUCGUGCAGCCAGCCCAGCUCAGGGAGCAGUGGGGACAGGUGAUCUCAUCCUGUCAAACCAAGCAACAUGGGUCUCAUUGAGGCUCAGAUGGAAGAUCCCAUGCAUCUCCUGGAGAGGAUGUGUCCAGGAUCCUGGAUAAUGUUUUCUGCAGGAGGUUUGAACAGGGAGAGAUCAACCCAGGUCUGCAGGGUUCAUGGGAGCAGCCACACUCCAACCCUCCACCUGGAAGCCUGCUGAAAAUUGCUUACCUAGGACCCAUGAAGUUCAGCCCCAGUUUGAGGCUCCACUCCUGAGGUUCUAUUGGAGGAGUCCCAGAGAAGCUAAUUGGCCCUGCGUAAGGAAGCAGCAGGAACAGGAAGCUGACUGAACACGAGGGCUGCUCCCUGUCCUGGAUCAUGUGCUGCUUGUUUCUGCUGCCGCUCCCCUGGCUUGAUUUUCUGGCAUCUGAUUUGUGGUUGUGAUCACAAGUUUGUCUUUUGCUUCUGAUCUUCCAGUAUCCUGACCCAGCUGACUCUCGACUCCUGUCAUGGCUCACCAUCCAUCUUGGAGCUGAACACCAGAUGGGAGCUGAUAGAUUGUCCUUGGUGGGCCAUGUUCUUGUGUGUGAUGGAGCUGUGUGCCAGAGAGGGCCAGGAGCAGAUGCACCAGGCAUGGCCAGGGCCAGGCUAAACAGCUAAA